UACGUAGGGGCGAGCGUUGUCCGGAAUUAUUGGGCGUAAAGGGUACGCAGGCGGUUCUUUAAGUCUGAUGUGAAAGCCCACGGCUUAACCGUGGAGGGUCAUUGGAAACUGGUCGACUUGAGUGCAGAAGAGGGAAGUGGAAUUCCAUGUGUAGCGGUGAAAUGCGUAGAGAUAUGGAGGAACACCAGUGGCGAAGGCGGCUUCCUGGUCUGUAACUGACACUGAGGCGCGAAAGCGUGGGGAGCAAACAGGAUUAGAUACCCGGGUAGUCCCUGAG
rnacentral:rRNA from 1 species